CGCGCAGGCGGUCGACCAAGUCGCGUGUGAAAGCCCCCGGCUCAACUGGGGAGGGUCACGCGAUACUGAUCGACUCGAAGGCAGGAGAGGGUAGUGGAAUUCCCGGUGUAGUGGUGAAAUGCGUAGAUAUCGGGAGGAACACCAGUGGCGAAGGCGACUACCUGGCCUGUUCUUGACGCUGAGGCGCGAAAGCUAGGGGAGCAAACG
rnacentral:rRNA from 1 species